AAAUCAUCCUUGGUAUGUAAAGUACAGCCUCGGGAAAUAUAGUCAAUAAUAUUGUGAUACCUAUGUAUGCUGUCAGAUGGGAACUAGAUUUAUUGGGGUGGUCACUUUGUAAGUUACAUAAAUGUCU